rnacentral:rRNA from 1 species
CACGUAGGGCGCAAGCGUUGUCCGGAAUUAUUGGGCGUAAAGAGCUCGUAGGCGGUCUGUUGCGUCCGCUGUGAAAACUCGGGGCUUAACCCCGAGCCUGCAGUGGAUACGGGCAGACUAGAGGUAGGUAGGGGAGAAUGGAAUUCCCGGUGUAGCGGUGAAAUGCGCAGAUAUCGGGAGGAACACCGGUGGCGAAGGCGGCUACCUGGACCGGUACUGACGCUGAGGCGCGAAAGCUAGGGUAGCAAACAGG